UACGAAGGGAGCUAGCGUUGUUCGGAAUUACUGGGCGUAAAGGGCGCGUAGGUGGCCACUUCAAGCGUGCGGUGAAAGUCGGGGGCUCAACCCCUGAUCGGCCGUGCGAACUGGGGGGCUGGAGCACUGUAGAGGCAGGCGGAAUUCCGGGUGUAGCGGUGGAAUGCGUAGAGAUCCGGAAGAACACCGGUGGCGAAGGCGGCCUGCUGGGCAGUUUUGCUGACACUGAGGCGCGACAGCGUGGGGAGCAAACAGG
rnacentral:rRNA from 1 species